CACACCGCACACCUGUUGGUAUAGCUGAGAGACUAGCUUAGCCUACUUGCUUAUUAGGCUACUUAGCCUGUAGCUUAGUGACUCGGUGCUGCGAGGGCAGCAAUAUUGGUGCGAUACAAAGUAAAGACAUUUUUCUGAACACAUGCAGCAGUGUCAUGUGUGCCCCCAUGAA